UACGGGGGGAGCAAGCGUUGUUCGGAUUUACUGGGCGUAAAGGGCGCGUAGGCGGCGUGACAAGUCACUUGUGAAAUCUCCGGGCUUAACUCGGAACGGUCAAGUGAUACUGUCGUGCUAGAGUACAGAAGGGGCAACUGGAAUUCUCGGUGUAGCGGUGAAAUGCGCAGAUAUCAGGAGGAACACCGGUGGCGAAGGCGGGUCUCUGGGCAGUAACUGACGCUGAGGAGCGAAAGCUAGGGGAGCAAACGGG
rnacentral:rRNA from 1 species